UUGAACGCUGGCGGCAUGCUUUACACAUGCAAGUCGGACGGCAGCACAGAGAAGCUUGCUUCUUGGGUGGCGAGUGGCGAACGGGUGAGUAACAUAUCGGUACGUACCGAGCAGUGGGGGAUAACUAAUCGAAAGAUUAGCUAAUACCGCAUAUUUUCUGAGGAAGAAAGCAGGGGACCUUUGGGCCUUGCGCUGUUUGAGCGGCCGAUAUCUGAUUAGCUAGUUGGUGGGGUAAAGGCCUACCAAGGCGACGGUCAGUAGCGGGUCUGAGAGGAUGAUCCGCCACACUGGGACUGAGACACGGCCCAGACUCCUACGGGAGGCAGCAGUGGGGAAUUUUGGACAAUGGGCGCAAGCCUGAUCCAGCCAUGCCGCGUGUCUGAAGAAGGCCUUCGGGUUGUAAAGGACUUUUGUCAGGGAAGGAAAGGGCGGGGUUAAUACCCCUGUCUGAUGACGGUACCUGAAGAAUAAGCACCGGCUAACUACGUGCC
rnacentral:rRNA from 1 species